ACUACUUCAACAUUUCUGAAGAAAGCUGCUGCCGGAGAAGUAACGUUAGGACACAGAACAAGUUUGUGACUGACUUAAUGAACCCAGUUGGUUUGGAUCAUGCUCAGAGAUGUAAGGGUUACAAAAAGUUAACCAGAACUCUUAUGAACUCCAUCUUGUCUUUCAAAGAGAUGGCAA